rnacentral:rRNA from 1 species
CUGACCGAUAGUGAACCAGUACCGUGAGGGAAAGGCGAAAAGAACCCCGGCGAGGGGAGUGAAAAAGAACCUGAAACCGUGUACGUACAAGCAGUGGGAGCCCCACCACUAAGCCAGUGGUGAACUCCACAUCCGCAUCCUUUGCUGAGGAUACGGUUAACGGAGCGAAAGCGACGUUCAACCGCAAAACAAGCAGAGGGGGCUUAGUGGUGGGGUGACUGCGUACCUUUUGUAUAAUGGGUCAGCGACUUAUAUUCUGUAGCAAGGUUAACCGAAUAGGGGAGCCGGAGGGAAACCGAGUCUUAAUUGGGCGUUAAGUUGCAGGGUAUAGACCCGAAACCCGGUGAUCUAGCCAUGGGCAGGUUGAAGGUUGGGUAACACUAACUGGAGGACCGAACCGACUAAUGUUGAAAAAUUAGCGGAUGACCUGUGGCUGGGGGUGAAAGGCCAAUCAAACCGGGAGAUAGCUGGUUCUCCCCGAAAGCUAUUUAGGUAGCGCCUCGUGAAUUCAUCUCCGGGGGUAGAGCACUGUUUCGGCUAGGGGGCCAUCCCGGCUUACCAACCCGAUGCAAACUGCGAAUACCGGAGAAUGUUAUCACGGGAGACACACGGCGGGUGCUAACGUCCGUCGUGAAGAGGGAAACAACCCAGACCGCCAGCUAAGGUCCCAAAGUCAUGGUUAAGUGGGAAACGAUGUGGGAAGGCCCAGACAGCCAGGAUGUUGGCUUAGAAGCAGCCAUCAUUUAAAGAAAGCGUAAUAGCUCACUGGUCGAGUCGGCCUGCGCGGAAGAUGUAACGGGGCUAAACCAUGCACCGAAGCUGCGGCAGCGAACGUAUCACCCAAGACAACUUUACGGAGUUGACGAUUGACGGAGCGAAGCGACGUCAAAGCGUUCAUUAAAGUCGAGUUGGCUUAGGGAUACGUUCGUUGGG